rnacentral:misc_RNA from 1 species
UGAUGCAGGAUUCUUUGGUACUGCGUUUCUGAGGAUCUGACGCAACUGGCGUUUUUUGGCAGGCUUUUGUUCCUCUGCCAGACUGAAAUGCGUUGACGAGGCUAAGCGACCGACCGCUCCUCACUUUUAAGGAGGUAACCAUUGCCUGCAGACGAACUCCGAGGCUGGCUUACAAAGGUGGGAUGGGAAGUUGCCUUCACCACGGCUCUAGCGGCGGCGCUUUCCGCAAGUACGGACGGGACAGUA